rnacentral:lncRNA from 1 species
ACUCAGCAGGUCGAACAUGUAGUCAAGUGGCUUGGAGCAGAGGGAGGAACACAAAGGGAUCAGACCUUGACCUUAUUAGCACAGCAUGAUCAUCAGAGCUGGCAUAAUCCAGCCGGAGUGGUGCCCAGCUGGAGAAGUUUCUGUCUUUCCUGUAGGAACAGAAUCAGCGAUGCCAGUGCAUCUGCUCGCUGACUCUGCUAUUAAGCUAUUCGGGCAGCAGAGUCUGUUUACAUGCUGUUUCACAGGAGUGCUUCCUUCUGCCAACCCUUUCUUUGAUUGUCACUGGAGCUGGCUUCUGAGGACCAUCUCUGAUUGCAGUUUCUCCAGUUAUGGAACCAAGCACCAGUCCUGAACUCUAGGUUGGUGUCUGAUCAGAACAGAACAGAAAAGAGUAAACUGCUUCAAUAUCAAUUUAGAUACUUUUAAUAUAACCAAAAAAUGGAACCAAAAAGACAGAUUUUGUCAUCUAAUUUGUCAUCUAAUUAGCUAUGUGAUCUUGAAGUCUUAUUUGCAAUUACCACUGAUCUUAGGAGGCCAUAGGUGACUUUGUUCCUUGUAAAGUAUAACAUCAUAUUA